AAAUAGAACUUUGCAGAGAGAGUUAAGAGGGCGUGAACCGUUAAUUGGCAAACGAAUCGGAGCCACGAAGUCGUUUCGUUGUCCAGUUCAGCCAGGUUCAGUUCGUCUGCGCAAGCAGACGGGCGUACUCCUGGGCUGAGCCACACUGUAAGCGUACACUGCAACCAGUUAGACGAUUGGUGGUGGGCCCAGCCUAGAUGGGACUUCGGUCCCUUCCAGGCGAAGCAUCUGUUUGAGUGGGGUAGUAGUAGUGAGGCGCGCCUCGUGUGCGUCUCGCUGCUGGCCCCUCUCAGGUGAACUACUACCAAAUACUGACUGGCAAAAUUAAAAUCGCCCCAGCGGCGUUACACAGAACGCGUCCGCCAACACUCGGAUCCACAUACUCGACCAUGGGGUUUAAGCUCGGCAUCUUUGAAUUUGGACUUGCUCGCUACCAAUGGGGCAACCCUUGGUGCUUGUACAGCUUCAUCUAAUCGGGUGUCGACUUGACCUGGUGUAGUUCGGCUAUGCUACGAUCGGGCUCGAGUGUUAGGCGGGUCGCCGUCGAUUGGCAGUGAGUAGGUCGGCUUUCCGAACGACCCGUCUUGAAACACGGACCAAGGAGUCUAAUUAGGCAUCAGUCGAUCGGUCUUGAUAGGCCAGACGUUGGGUCCCUCGGGACCCAUGACUGAAGGCGCAGAGAAAUCAAACCAUGUGAUCCCUGCCAGCAAUGGUGGGGCGCAACAUGUGCCUGUUCGAUGCUGUGUCCUCGGACCAGCUGGGCGGAGCAAAGAGAUGCCUGAUUGGUACCCGAAAGAUGGUGAACUAUGCCUGGGCAAGUUGAAGCCAGAGGAAACUCUGGUGGAGGACUGUAGCGGUUCUGACGUGCAAAUCGAUCGUCAGACCUGGGUAUAGGGGCGAAAGACUAAUCGAACCAUC
rnacentral:rRNA from 1 species